rnacentral:rRNA from 1 species
CCUACGGGGGGCUGCAGUGGGGAAUCUUGGACAAUGGGCGAAAGCCUGAUCCAGCCAUGCCGCGUGAAUGAUGAAGGCCCUAGGGUUGUAAAAUUCUUUCGACGGGGAAGAUAAUGACGGUACCCGUAGAAGAAGCUCCGGCUAACUUCGUGCCAGCAGCCGCGGUAAUACGAAGGGGGCUAGCGUUGUUCGGAAUUACUGGGCGUAAAGCGCACGUAGGCGGAUCGAUAAGUAAGAGGUGAAAUCCCAGAGCUCAACUCUGGAACUGCCUUUUAAACUGUCGAUCUGGAGCAGAGUAGAGGUGAGUGGAAUUCCGAGUGUAGAGGUGAAAUUCGUAGAUAUUCGGAGGAACACCAGUGGCGAAGGCGGCUCACUGGACUCUUGCUGACGCUGAGGUGCGAAAGCGUGGGGAGCAAACAGGAUUAGAUACCCUUGUAGUC